rnacentral:rRNA from 1 species
GGGGAUAACCUUCCGAAAGGAGGGCUAAUACCGCAUGACAGCCUCUGCAUAGAUACAGGGGACUCAAAACACAGAAGUCGCAAGACCUGGCGCUUGGAGAGGGGCCCGCGUCCGAUUAGCUAGUUGGUGGGGUAAUGGCUCACCAAGGCUCCGAUCGGUAUCCGGCCUGAGAGGGCGGACGGACACACUGGAACUGAGACACGGUCCAGACUCCUACGGGAGGCAGCAGUGGGGAAUUGUUCGCAAUGGGCGCAAGCCUGACGACGCAACGCCGCGUGG